rnacentral:rRNA from 1 species
GACGAACCGUGCGAACGUUGUUCGGAAUCACUGGGCUUAAAGGGCGCGUAGGCGGGCGAUCAAGUCAGGGGUGAAAGCCCCCAGCUCAACUGGGGAAGUGCCUCUGAUACUGGUAGUCUCGAGGGAGGUAGGGGCGUGCGGAACUUCCGGUGGAGCGGUGAAAUGCGUAGAUAUCGGAAGGAACGUCGGUGGCGAAAGCGGCGCGCUGGACCUCUUCUGACGCUGAGGCGCGAAAGCCAGGGGAGCAAACGGG